CAUGAAUAAACGAUAGCCAAUCAAAGGGUUUUACAUGUAAUUGUUAAAAGGAUAAUACAUCUUUACUUGUCGUUUCGAUAGUCUGGUUGCAGUUAAAUUGCACGGAAUACAAAAAUGAAUAUCCAAACAACUUUCCUGAGUAUAUUCGUUUGUGUAUUGUUACCAAAGAGUUUUGAUGGAAGACUGACUUACAACUAUUUUGAUGAGAUGGCGCAAUCUUACUGUGCGAGUCAGUCAUGAGGCUGGGUAUUUGCUCUUCGGCGAGACUGUGCGAGGGGAGCGGAUACUUGCAACAAUAUAUGUGCUAGUGCAAAGAAUGCAAUACUGGCUUCAAUAAGUAAUCAGAGAACACGAGUCAGUUGCUUCGAUGGAUACCAUGUUGGUAAAAAUCAUAAUAGAAUCCGAGAUAACCCAUCGACUGCACAGCCUGAUUCUAAUACAGUUAUCUUCAAGACCUACGGUUACGGUAGUGGUGGAUGUACCUGGAAAGCUAACCAUUGUGGUCCAAACUACUGCUGUUGCAAAGCUUUCUAAAAGGUCUGAGAAAAUACAAUCUCAGAAUCGGAAUCCUUUUAUAUUGUCUAUUAAGUGUCAAUAAAUCUUCACCCGUUAG